rnacentral:rRNA from 1 species
UUUUAUUUGAGAGUUUGAUCCUGGCUCAGGAUGAACGCUGGCGGCGUGCCUAACACAUGCAAGUUGAGCGAUUUACUUCGGUAAAGAGCGGCGGACGGGUGAGUAACGCGUGGGUAACCUACCCUGUACACACGGAUAACAUACCGAAAGGUAUGCUAAUACGGGAUAAUAUAUUUGAGAGGCAUCUCUUAAAUAUCAAAGGUGAGCCAGUACAGGAUGGACCCGCGUCUGAUUAGCUAGUUGGUAAGGUAACGGCUUACCAAGGCGACGAUCAGUAGCCGACCUGAGAGGGUGAUCGGCCACAUUGGAACUGAGACACGGUCCAAACUCCUACGGGAGGCAGCAGUGGGGAAUAUUGCACAAUGGGCGAAAGCCUGAUGCAGCAACGCCGCGUGAGUGAUGAAGGCCUUCGGGUCGUAAAACUCUGUCCUCAAGGAAGAUAAUGACGGUACUUGAGGAGGAAGCCCCGGCUA